rnacentral:lncRNA from 1 species
AUGCUACAGGACGUGCUGAGGAAAUCGUCCCUCCCUGGGGAAAUGGGAUCACGGUGUGUGCUGCCAGGAGAGCCUAACGCUGCCAUCACUGCAAAGGUGUGGAUACUCACACUGUUCACUGCUGGGAUCCCCCAGAAACCUUCACAGAGGUGUCCCCAGCUGUGGGAAUCCUGCAGAGAGUCACAGAAUAUCCUGAGGUGGAACACACGCACAAGGAUCAGUCCAACUCCUGGCUGUGCACAGACACCCCAACAAUCCCACCCUGUGCCUGGGAGCACUGUCCAAACACUCCUGCAGCUCUGGCAGCCUUUGGGCUGUGGCCAUUCCAUGGGGAGCCUGGGCAGUGCCCCACCACCCUCUAGGGGAAGAAUUUUUCCUAAUAUCCAAACAAAACUUCCCCAGACAGCUCCAGCUGUUCCAUCAAAUCCUGUCACUGGUCACCAGUAAGAAGAGAUCAGAAUGAAGGAAGAAACAUCCCUGGGUUCAUGAGCCAUUCCUCAUCUAAAGGAAAACUCUGCAACCCCCCCUGUUUUGGUGACAUUAAAAAAACCUGUCUGUAUUCAGGGUACCCCAGAAUAUUGGAAUUUCUCCUUAACACCCUCACAAUUACUCAGAUCAUUG